UACGAAGGGGGCUAGCGUUGUUCGGAAUGACUGGGCGUAAAGGGCGCGUAGGCGGUGGACACAGUCAGGCGUGAAAUUCCUGGGCUCAACCUGGGGGCUGCGUUUGAUACGUGUUUGCUAGAGUGGGGAAGAGGGUCGUGGAAUUCCCAGUGUAGAGGUGAAAUUCGUAGAUAUUGGGAAGAACACCGGUGGCGAAGGCGGCGACCUGGUCCUUGACUGACGCUGAGGCGCGAAAGCGUGGGGAGCAAACAGG
rnacentral:rRNA from 1 species